GGAAGUCUGAGGUUCCAGGCUUCUCUCCCCUUCCUGUGUGUGCCUGCUCCUGACAUGGCUCUUAGCAAGUGAGAGGAAGUGAGCUGAACUCACUUCCUUCCAGCAGGCCGCAGGGGGAAGCCAACACUGUGAAUGCGGUCCAAAAUCGUGGGCUAUGUGGCCCGCAGGCCAUAUGUUUGGGAACCCUGCUCAACACCUUUUACUGUAAGAUACCC